AGAGUUUGAUCCUGGCUCAGGAUAAACGCUGGCGGCGUGCAUGAGACAUGCAAGUCGAACGGACGACUCAGGCUUGCUUGAGUCGUUAGUGGCGGACGGCUGAGUAACGCGUAGGUGACCUACCCCGAAGUGGGGAAUAACUGCCCGAAAGGGUGGCUAAUACCGCAUGUGGUGAUGCGUUCAUUCGCAUCAGUAAAGCCGCAAGGCGCUUCGGGAGGGGCCUGCGUCCGAUUAGCUCGUUGGUGGGGUAACGGCUCACCAAGGCGACGAUCGGUAGGUGGUCUGAGAGGACGAUCACCCAGACUGGGACUGAGACACGGCCCAGACUCCUACGGGAGGCAGCAGUCGGGAAUUUUGCUCAAUGGGGGAAACCCUGAAGCAGCAACGCCGCGUGAGGGAUGAAGGCCUUCGGGUUGUAAACCUCUUUUCUCAGGGAAGAUGAUGACGGUACCUGAGGAAGAAGCCACGGCUAACUACGUGCCAGCAGCCGCGGUAAUACGUAGGUGGCAAGCGUUGUCCGGAUUUACUGGGCGUAAAGAGCGCGCAGGCGGUCGUUCAAGUCGAGUGUGAAAGCCCCCGGCUCAACUGGGGAGGGUCACUCGAUACUGGUCGACUCGAAGGCAGGAGAGGGAAGUGGAAUUCCCGGUGUAGUGGUGAAAUGCGUAGAUAUCGGGAGGAACACCAGUGGCGAAGGCGACUUCCUGGCCUGUUCUUGNNGCUGAGGCGCGAAAGCUAGGGGAGCAAACGGGAUUAGAUACCCUAGUAGUCC
rnacentral:rRNA from 1 species